rnacentral:lncRNA from 1 species
AGGACUUUUUUUUAAUUAGAAAAAAAAAUAGAUUUUAAAAAAUACGAGUUAGUGGAAGGAGGAGGCAGUUCUCACACUCAGAAUUGCAAGGGGUUUUCUGCAUUAAAGGCCUUUGCCUACUGUCUGCAUGCAAUUUUAGAUCUAACUCUGACUUUAACCAUUGGAUAAGAAUGAAUCAGCUAAAAUCUGAGCGGUGAAAUUAUUUCAGUUAGGGCAGAUCUCGAAGUCCAUUUUCAAUGACGUGUAUUUAAAUUUGUUUAGAAAGAUUCCCAGGGAUUUAGAUUUAGAGGCCUUGAAUUGUCAAGUACAAUAACACCGAAAAAUGAUAAUUAAAUAUAGGAGGUCAUGGUUUAGCUUGGCUCUAUCCCUGAGAUUCCUGUUUAGAAUGUAAAAAUAGAAUUAAAGAUCCAAUAUUUGAUGUAAACUUUUUUUUUUUUUAAAGUGACCCAAAAUGUAUAAUGUGGGCGAAGGAGUUCAUUAGAUUUGCUUUUAGGGUAGCCUGAUCUACUGAGUAGAUGCAGUUGUUGUCAGCAGUGUGAAACAUGUCUCCCUUCAUCUCUUCUUGAACUGUUCAAGAAGUCAAGUGUUUGCUCUGGAGCUGAUGGAAGAGCUCUGGGGCUAGGAGGAGCGGGUGAAAGGAGCGGGCCUGGCUGCUGAGUGUGUUCCUUCUUUUCUCUUUAAGCUGAUGAGCGCAGUUCAGAAAGGAAGGGUCUCUGGAAGCCGACUUGCCAUCCUGAUGAAAACUGCCGAGGAGAACUUGGACCGCAGAGUUCCAAUCCCCGUGGACCGUAGUUGUGGAGGAUUGUGAGUCUGACCAGUAAAUCCGCCACCAGCAAGCAUAGGACAGCCAGCGCUAUGUACAACCAGAGAUGACUUAAACUCUAAAAUAGUGGAUCUCGUAGCUGCCUUUUUUAAAACAAACAAACAAGGAAAAAAAAAAAAACAAAAUCAAAGAAAGGAAAGGGAUAAGCAAAUAAACAACACUGGAAAACAUUCCAAAACUUAAGAUGUUGGUGUGUUUGCCAACUUACUUUGCCAAUACUUUAUUUAUAUUUGCCACUCAGUCUGGCUUCUACAAAGCGCUUUUCUUAUUUUUUAGUGCGCACUGAUGUACUGUUUUGUAUCCAUUUUGUACCCUGUCAGACUUGACACUCUGCCUGCUCAUUCAUUCAUUCAAACUAGUUUUAGAGGCAGACCCCGUAUAGAUUGGAAUGAUGCUAGAAAGACUUUGUGAGCACCCAAGAGCUCAGGAGCUCGAGCCUGGAGAGAGCAUUCUUUCUUUUUUUUUCUAGAAAAUCAUUUGAUCUCUUGACCUGUUAAUAUUUUGGGAGACUUCUCAGCCCCGUCUUGCUACCCACCCCCUUCCGAUUAAAACUGCACACUUUUCUGUCUGGAGCAACUCUGGCUAAUCUGGAGAGGGAAGACAAAGUUUAGAUCUGGUUGAGAUUUGGUUACAUUUCUAAAAGAGAACCUCCAAAAGCUUCCAGAUUUGCAGGCGUAAGAUAAAGACAGCCCUGACAUUUGCCGGGAGGUACGGUGAUCGCUGCUUCUCAGCAGUUCAUUUUUUUUCCCCCAGGCACUGCUGGCUUCCUUUGACUAUUAUAGUUGCCAGAAAAAUCCUUGCUUUUUUUACUUUACAACCAGCAUUUGAGUGGCAAGUUGGAUAUAAUGGGAUGAGACCAAAUCUCUCCAUUCCUCCUGGGAGCAAUGAUGGGACACAAUUUCCAGUCCCACAAGUUCUGAAUCUUGUAGCGUGUAGCACUGUCAGGCCUGUUCUUGUCGGGGUGGGCAGUAGUGACGGUAUUUGCAAAGAGAUAAUAAAAAAGAACUGGGCAGACUUCCGUUAACUUUAAUUAUGAAAUUGAAAUAAGGCAUGCCACUUUAAUAUUGGAGGCUGGUCUGUUUGCCAAAGGCCCUUCUCUUUGUGUACUCACUGGAAAAACUCUCUUUCU